UCGGGAAUUUUGGGCAAUGGGCGAAAGCCUGACCCAGCAACGCCGCGUGAAGGAUGAAGUAUUUCGGUAUGUAAACUUCGAAAGAAUAGGAAGAAUAAAUGACGGUACUAUUUAUAAGGUCCGGCUAACUACGUGCCAGCAGCCGCGGUAAUACGUAGGGACCAAGCGUUGUUCGGAUUUACUGGGCGUAAAGGGCGCGUAGGCGGCAAUUCAAGUCAUCUGUGAAAUCUCCGGGCUUAACUCGGAACGGUCAGAUGAUACUGCUUUGCUAGAGUGCAGAAGGGGCAAUCGGAAUUCUUGGUGUAGCGGUGAAAUGCGUAGAUAUCAAGAGGAACACCUGAGGUGAAGACGGGUUGCUGGGCUGACACUGACGCUGAGGCGCGAAAGCCAGGGGAGCAAGCGGGAUUAGAUACCCGUGUAGUCCCUGAGCGGGCUGGCAAGGCGCAU
rnacentral:rRNA from 1 species